UACGAAGGGGGCUAGCGUUGCUCGGAAUCACUGGGCGUAAAGCGCACGUAGGCGGACUCUUAAAGCGGUGGUGAAAUCCUGGAGCUCAACUCCAGAACUGCCUUCGAUACUGAGAGUCUCGAGUCCGGGAGAGGUGAGUGGAACUGCGAGUGUAGAGGUGAAAUUCGUAGAUAUUCGCAAGAACACCAGUGGCGAAGGCGGCUCACUGGCCCGGUACUGACGCUGAGGUGCGAAAGCGUGGGGAGCAAACAGGAU
rnacentral:rRNA from 1 species